UACGUAGGGUGCAAGCGUUGUCCGGAAUUAUUGGGCGUAAAGAGCUCGUAGGCGGUUUGUCGCGUCGGCUGUGAAAGCCCGGAGCUCAACUCCGGGUCUGCAGUCGAUACGGGCAGACUUGAGUGUUGCAGGGGAGACUGGAAUUCCUGGUGUAGCGGUGAAAUGCGCAGAUAUCAGGAGGAACACCGGUGGCGAAAGCGCGUAACUGGGCCAUAACUGACGCUGAGGAACGAAAGCCAGGGUAGCAAAAAGG
rnacentral:rRNA from 1 species